rnacentral:rRNA from 1 species
AUUGAACGCUGGCGGAAUGCCUAACACAUGCAAGUCGAGCGGAGUAGCAAUACUCAGCGGCGGACGGGUGAGGAAUACAUAGGAACUUGCCUUUAGGUGGGGGAUAGCUUGGGGAAACUCAAGGUAAUACCGCAUGAUCUCGCAAGAGCAAAGGGGCGCAAGUCUCGCCUGUAGAGAGGCCGAUGUCUGAUUAGCUAGUUGGCGGUGAAAUAGACCACCAAGGCGACGAUCAGUACCUGGUCUGAGAGGACGAUCAGUCACACCGGAACUGAGACACGGUCCGGACUCCUACGGGAGGCAGCAGUGGGGAAUAUGGGACAAGGGGCGAAAGCCUGAUCCAGCAAUUCCGCGUGUGUGAAGAAGGCCUUCGGGUUGUAAAGCACUGUAGUGAGGGAAGAAACAGCUUGGCCACACCAAGCCUUGACGGUACCUCAAGAAUAAGCACCGGCUAACUCUGUGCCAGCAGCCGCCGUAA